UGUUGUUGACAGCAUUUUUUUAAAAAAAUUGGCUUCACUAAGGUUCUGAUUUCAUGGCGUGUUCUUACUAUUUUGAUGUGGUAUUGGGCUUUGGUGUUCCCAGGAGCAUUUUCUUUUCAAUAACUAACAGUUCCAUAUUGUAAUGUAAACAGUAUUAUAACAGUUGUGAUGCUUAAAAUUCAUGGUUAAAAAAAAUGCUGUCAAC
rnacentral:misc_RNA from 1 species